AGUGAACGCUGGCGGUAGGCCUAACACAUGCAAGUCGAACGGCAGCACAGUAAGAGCUUGCUCUUACGGGUGGCGAGUGGCGGACGGGUGAGGAAUACAUCGGAAUCUACUUUUUCGUGGGGGAUAACGUAGGUAAACUUACGCUAAUACCGCAUACGACCUACGGUUGAAAGCAGGGGAUCUUCGGACCUUGCGCGAUUGAAUGAGCCGAUGUCGGAUUAGCUAGUUGGCGGGGUAAAGGCCCACCAAGGCGACGAUCCGUAGCUGGUCUGAGAGGAUGAUAAGCCACACUGGAACUGAGACACGGUCCAGACGCCUAAGGGAGGCAGCAGUGGGGAAUAUUGGACAAUGGGCGCAAGCCUGAUCCAGCCAUACCGCGUGGGUGAAGAAGGCCUUCGGGUUGUAAAGCCCUUUUGUUGGGAAAGAAAAGCAGCAGGUUAAUACCCAGCUGUUCUGACGGUACCCAAAGAAUAAGCACCGGCUAACUUCGUG
rnacentral:rRNA from 1 species